rnacentral:rRNA from 1 species
AUUGAACGCUGGCGGCAGGCUUAACACAUGCAAGUCGAACGAGUGGCGGACGGGUGAGUAAUGCUUGGGGAUCUGGCUUAUGGAGGGGGAUAACUACUGGAAACUGUAGCUAAUACCGCGUACCAUAGGAUGAGCCCAAAUGGGAUUAGGUAGUUGGUGAGGUAAAGGCUCACCAAGGCGACGAUCUCUAGCUGGUCUGAGAGGAUGAUCAGCAAAACUGGUACGGAGACACGGCCCAGACUCCUACGGGAGGCAGCAGUGGGGAAUAUUGCGCAAUGGGGGCAACCUGAAGCAGCCAUGCCGCGUGUAUGAAGAAGGCCGUAGGGUUGUAAAGUACUUUCGGUAGCGAGGCGUUAACUACAGAAGAAGCACCGGCUAACUCCGUGCCAGCCGCCGCGGUAAUUC